GCCACCCGGCUGUCGGCGAUGUUUCCAUCUCCCCACAGAGGCCGUCCGCGAGGCGGCUCACAGCAAAGCAAGUCCUCCUCCUGAGCCCAUAUUGCGGCUCGGCUGCCCGCGGAGGCAUCUCCCCCGAAGCCAGCCCUGCUCAUGCCCAGGGGGGGCUGGGCACCCAAGGCCCCGGUUCCUCGGGGCGUGACCAGACGGGCCAGGCAACUUCCAAGCACGUGGCAUCUUGGGGCGGCCGCUCUUAAAUCCAGAGAAAAGGGGAGCCCCAGCGCGGGCCUGCCUUUGCGGCUUCGCUUCGGCCGCAAGCGGAGCAUCAGGAGGGAGAGAGGGGCGGGAAGCGCCUCCACCGGAGCCGCUCGGUGCUGUGCCUCCUCCCCGAGGUCUCGCGGGGAAAGAACCAUUUCCUCUUUUUAAGGCACUCACAUCUGGGCCGCUUCCAAGGGAGCCCCACUAAUUACUCCGUCCAACUCAACUCAACUACUGUCUUUCCCUCAACCACUUCGGCAGCCAGCUCCCGGUCCGUCCAAACUACGUGAAGUCCCAGAGCUUCUGCUUUGGGAACGGAGAUGCUGUGCAAGUGUGUGGUAGCGGGGGGGGGGUUCUGUUUUGGGGUGGGCAGCCAGAGAGACCCGUUCGCGCCCAGCACCCCGCGUUCCUUCACGCUGCUCAGCAGCACCUCCCCCCCACCCCCCGUCCGACACUGCUUUCCUCUCGCCGAUUCCUCAGCUGGAUUCCCAGCAUGGGCCCUGAGUGGAGUGGGGUACCAAUCCUGCUAGGGUGAGGCCCUGGCUUUUACAGUUCUUGCAGUUCCCAGGACAGGUCGAGGCAACCCAGACCCGACGUUAGCCUGUUGAUUCACUGCUGAAGAGGUCUUGUUAUUCCAAAGCACAACUGGGAACUUCUUUCCACGCAAGCGCAGGCAGAGCUGCAAUACGGAGGCCUCGGGAGCGAGGCUGCUGAUACUUGGUGUGUUGUGACCAGUGCGCAACUGGGUCCCUCCGGAGCUGCAGAGUCAAAGAAGAGCGCCCUCCUGCACAAGGAGGCUGCUGUGGAGCAGGUCCUGAACCACUGCGCCAGGCUUUCCUUCCCACGGGGCCUGAUGGCAACGCCUCCAACACGCAGCACAGGAGAGUCCCAGGGGAUGCAUCUAAGAAAGGAGAAGGACAGACCAAGAGGCCUCUGUGAAAACGCACCUCAAAGCACUGGGGACAGGCCACCAC